GACGAACGCUGGCGGCGUGCCUAACACAUGCAAGUCGAACGGAAAGGCACUGAUUUUGUGCGGUGCUCGAGUGGCAAACGCGUGAGUAUCACGUGGGUAACCUGCCCUAGAUUUUGGGAUAACUUCAGGAAGCUGGGGCUACUACCGGAUCGGAGCUCCUGCUGCAUGGAGGGGGUUGGAAAGUUUCGGCGGUUGGGGUUGGACUAGCGGCUUAUCAGCUUGUUGGUGGGGUAGUGGCUUACCAAGUCAUUGACGGGUAGCCGGCCUGAGAGGGUGACCGGCCACAUUGGGACUACGAGACGGCCCAGACUCCUACGUGGGACAGCGGUGGGGAAUAUUGCACAAUGGGCGGAAGCCUGAUGCAGCAACGCCGCGGUCGGAAAGACGUCCUUCGGGGUGUAAACCGCAUUCGCCUGUGACGAAGCGUGAGUGACGGUAAUGGGUAAAGAAGCACCGGCUAACUACGUG
rnacentral:rRNA from 1 species